UGGGGAAUCUUGCGCAAUGGGCGAAAGCCUGACGCAGCGACGCCGCGUGAGGGAGGAAGGCCUUCGGGUUGUAAACCUCUUUCAGGAGGGACGAAGCUACUCGGGUGAAUAGCCCAGAGGGUGACGGUACCUCCAGAAGAAGCCCCGGCUAACUACGUGCCAGCAGCCGCGGUAAUACGUAGGGGGCAAGCGUUGUCCGGAUUUACUGGGCGUAAAGAGCGUGUAGGCGGCCACGCAGGUCCGUUGUGAAAACUGGAGGCUCAACUUCCAGACGUCGGCGGAAACCGUGUGGCUAGAGUCCGGAAGAGGAGAGUGGAAUUCCUGGUGUAGCGGUGAAAUGCGCAGAUAUCAGGAAGAACACCAAUGGCGAAGGCAGCUCUCUGGGACGGUACUGACGCUGAGACGCGAAAGCGUGGGGAGCGAACAGGAUUAGAUACCCUGGUAGUCCACGCCGUAAACGAUGGGUGCUAGGUGUGGGAGGUGUCGACUCCUUCCGUGCCGUAGCUAACG
rnacentral:rRNA from 1 species